GUGUAUCCUUAACAUCUUUCCACAUUAUUAAAUUUUCUUCUACAAUAAAAAUUUUAAUGUAUGCAUUAGUAUUCAAUUUUAAGCAGCCACCAUUAAUAACUUGAUUAUUAUUAUUAUUUUUUGUCGCUUUUUAGGGCCACACCCAUGGCAUAUGGAGGUUCCCAGGCUAGGGGUCAAAUUGGAGCUACAGCUGCUGGCCUACACCACAGCCACAGCAAUGCCAGCCACAUCUGUGACCUACACCACAGCUCACGGCAACACUGGAUCCUUAAACCACUGAGCGAGGCCAGGGAUCAAACUUGAAACCUCGUGUUUCCUAGUUGGAUUCGUUAACCACGAGCCACACAGGGAACUCCCAAUUUACCCUUGCUUUUUUUUUUUUUUUUUUNUUUUUUUCUUUUUUUGUCUUUCUGUCUUUUGUUGUUGUUGUUGUUGCUAUUUCUUGGGCCGCUCCCGCGGCAUAUGGAGGUUCCCAGGCUAGGGGUCGAAUCGGAGCUGUAGCCACCGGCCUACACCAGAGCCACAGCAACGCGGGAUCCGAGCCGCGUCUGCAACCUACACCACAGCUCACGGCAAUGCCGGAUCGUCAACCCACUGAGCAAGGGCAGGGACCGAACCCGCAACCUCAUGGUUCCUAGUCGGAUUCGCUAACCACUGCGCCACGAUGGGAACUCCUACCCUUGCUUUUAAUGCUUUGAGGCUGUUUUACCUUCGAAGUCAUUUUGGAAAUAUUCCUUCCAAUUUAUUAUACUUCCUUACUUUUGUUUUGUUGUUUUCUGAUGCACAGAUAUUUUACAUUUUUAUUUACUUAAAUCUAUUAUGUUUUUCUUCAAGGGCUCUGCCUUGAUUUACAUGUUUGAAAAGGUUUCCCCUACCACAGAGUUCUUUCUUCUGAUUCUUUUGGAUUUUAUUCCAUGCCCUCCAUCUGGAAUUCAUUUGGAUGUAUGGAUUGAGAGAACCCUUAGUAUCCUGAGUUGCACAUCCACGGAUUCAACCAACUCUGGAUCAAAAAUCCAACCAACUGCUGUGAAGAACCUAUGGAUGCAGAAGACUGGUGACCGUAUUUUAUGUAAAGGACUUGAGCAUCCAUGGAUUUUGGUAUCCAUAGGGUUUCUGGGAGCAAUCUCCCAUGGGUACUAAGGUAAAACUGUAAUGAUAAUUUGUUCUCUGCUCCAAUUUUCACACAUCACAUUCCACUUUCUUGUAUAUUGUAUUAGUUAGAACCUCCAGAAAAAUACUAACCAAGGUCAAUUGCUGUGGGCAGUCUUGAGGCAGACUUCAGUAGAACUACCUCCAGUGUUUCAACAUGAAGUGCAAUAUUGGUCAUAUGACUAAGACAUGUAUAGGUAUAUUUAUCAUAUUUAAGGAAAUAACUCACUUCAGGUCACU
rnacentral:lncRNA from 1 species